rnacentral:ncRNA from 2 species
ACCUUAUCAAGAGAGGUGGAGGGAAAGGCCCUGUGAAACCCGGCAACCCAACUUUUUCAAAAAGUGAAGGUGCCAAUUCCUGCAAGUUUUUACUUGACAGAUGAGGA